rnacentral:tRNA from 1 species
GCCAGAGUGGCGGAAUUGGCAGACGCGCUGGAUUCAAAAUCCAGUGGGGGCAACCCCGUGGGAGUUCAAGUCUCCCCUCUGGUA